AGAGCACAUGAGUGGGGGAGUGGCAGAGAGAGGAGGAGAGAGAGAAUCUGAAGCAGGCUUUGCCCUGUCAAUGCAGAGUCCAAUGUGAGGCUUGAUCCCAUGAACCGUGAGAUCAUGACCCGAGCCAAUAUCAAGAGUCAGAUGGCCAACCGAAUGAGCCACCCAGGUGCCCCCAGACACACUUUUAUUCAACAAACUUCUGUGGGGUGCCCACUGCAUUCUUUGCACUACCUGACUAGGCACUGGGUCUAUGGGGUGAGAGAGCCAAUCUCUGUUCUUAAGCUGGGGAGAUGGACAAGAAGGUCAAUGCUAACAAAAGAGUGGAAUUAGUAGUAUAUAGGGCAGCAUGGAUCCCAGCCUUAAAGAUCAGGGAAUGUGAUGUUUGAAUCCAAUAGUAUUGCUGAUCAUCAAACAAACGUAGGCGGUGUUGAGGGAAGAUAGGAAGGAUGUCCUAAUCAAAGGGAAUGGCACACGCACACACAGAACGUCUGAAGUGCUGACAAGUUGGGGUUUGUUGCAGAGGAUGGCAGCCGUAAGUGUAGAAGCUCGACCACAGUAGGAUCUUGUCUCUGCAGCUGAAGAUUUCAAACUUCAUCUGGGAGCGACAGGAAGCCGCUGACACACAAAAUAGUAUGCUCGCCUUCUGGAGCGCAGAAAAGGCAAUUUCCACUCCGACCUCGGUGGAAAGACAAUUGGUAGGAAGCACAGGAUGCUGGUGGUGUAUGGCCUGAGCUUGAGCCUGAGCUGUGCGGUGCCACAUCCCCAGAUACGUCGGUACGUGUCUUACUUACCGAUAGAGGAGGCCUGAUGGGGUCGAUUUGCCUGGGAACUUAGCCAACUCCCGAGAGAGAGAAUUCACUCUAAGAGAAGGUGAGUUUGGUAUCACACGUUAGUGGUAGAAGGGAAGAAGUGAGUCCGAGAUAACAGGAUGCCUCUUACUUCUGCGUAGUCCCUGGCCGAACUUCCCCCAGAACUCCUGUCUGGGAAGACCGUGGCAUGAGAGCAAGGAAGUGCUCCUGUGGUAUUCCUCAACAGGGUGGAACACACAGAAAGAGACACGCUUCCUCACUGCCCCUCCUCAUUUUGCUCCAGAAGCCAGUCUAACUCAUGGUCAAAAUCUGCGGCACCCAGCCGAGGUGGCUGCAGAGGAAGGGCAUCUUGGAGGCACAAGAUAAGGCAAGCCACGGUGAUGCCUGGGAGAGGCAUUCGUCCAUAUCGGAAGUGGCAGGCACGUCUUCCGUUUGAGUUCGUAGUCAGUGGGAGUGGCAUGUAAGUGGACUCAGUGACAUGUAAGGGGAGUGCUGUAGCAUCUAGCGGAAGAGGGGCAGAAUAGGAGAAGAAGGAGAAAAUGUUAGCUGGCUGGCUUUUCGUUAGCGCUAAAGGGGUACCCCCAUGAGGACACAGGUAAAAUUGGCCUGAGGUGUGGGGGCCCCCUUGUCUCUUUACAGUGACAAAUGAGGGCGAGAACCAGCAAAAUGCGAACUGAAGAGACUAGGCCGGAACCACUUUCUCCCAGAUAAGCUGCUCAAAUUCCCAGAAUAUGAGUCCCUGGCGACUUUACAUCGCUUACUGUAAAAGUGUAAGAGGUUAGGUUACUCCCCAGGCUCUAGAACAAGAGCCCAAUGGCUCCCAGAGAUAGUACAUCCCUCAUCCAAAAGGAAACCUGGCCGGUAGUUUGCCUCCAGCUAAUCUUCCACAUUUCUGCAAACUAGGCGCUUCGGUUUUAUCGUUGCCUUUACAGAGAGCGGAGUCGGAUUUUCAUGAUUCUUCACGACCUUGUUCUCUCUGCUGUAACAGCCACGGCGAGAGCCAAAACGGACUCGUUCACAGAGAACAAGCAAUUUUGUCUGAUCCUCGUUCUUCGUGUUGAAAUUGCAAUUGUGUUAGUGUGACUGACAGGUUCUCCAAAGAGAUUCAGUGAAAUCCUCCGUCAGGUUCACCAGGAAACAGAAGGUUUUGAGUAGGCGUGUCUGGCUGGUCUCCCCAAAGGGCUCAGUAACAACACAUCAAAAGACUGCUGAAUUCUUAUUUCCCAUCAGAAAAAUAUCAAAGCCAAUCUGAAAUCUGGGAGUGUUUGGAGGGCAGAUGGUAUUAGCCUAGUAGUAAACACAUUUUUGGCUGCUUCUUUUUUUCUCCCUGGUUGCUAUGUUUAAUGUGCUGAGAGAAAGCUGUUUGCUUGCAGAAUCUUAUUAUAGAGCAGAAAUAUACUUGUUCCAGAGAAGAGGAAUUUAAUUGGUUCCAAGUCAAAUGAUGUUAACAGGUGUCGCCUCACCAACCCAGGACUUAAAAUGGGUUAUUAUAAAAAGGACGAAUACCUAGUUGUCUGGCUCUCGCUCCCGCCUGUUAUGUAAGACUGCCUGCCCCUGUAAUGUUCCUCCUGAUUAUUUCCAGCAACUUGAGGAGGUGGCUCAUAUGUACCCAUGCACAAGUCCUGUUGGCUACCGCAGCGCCUGCAAUUUUCCUGCUCUUUCGGCUUGAGCUGCUCUCCGCUAUUAUUUGCUACUGAGGCCUGCACCACUUAAUGCAAACUGCAGGUUAAGCCUCCGUUGGUAUUGCUGCUUCGGCCAGGCUCUGUGACACUGGAAGGAAGGAACACUGCUGGUUCCCCGGAGGUGCCGAGAUCUGAAGAUCUCUAGAUCUUUAGGCAUUUGAAUACGUGCCAGCCUCAAACCUUUGAAGGUUGUUCCUCUGAGAUGUUUCAUCAGUGACAUCACAGUGCUUGCCACCUCCCUCAGACUACAUUAGGUCCUGCCCAGAGUCCGGGACUCCAGAGAGCCUGGGAGACGAGCGGGAGUUGGAGCCCAAGUUGGAGAAAGAGAAGAAGCCUAUCCCAGCCACUUGUGUCCUUGACCCUCCUCAGGUGACAGCAGGAUUUUUAUACUUAGCAUAGUGUGUGUGUGUGUGUGUGUGUGUGUGUGUACAAGUUGCAAAUGAGAAGCACAGAGGCAUGUUUACAUUUCUUAAUGAAACAGGCAAUACCUAUUAGACAUAGUAUUUUUUAAGAUGUAGAAAGUAUUAUUUAUCCUUGCUUUCCUUUUUUUCCCUCUCCUGGUAUGUGUUUUCUCCCUUUCUAAUUCUCAAAGCCUCCAUUCAAAGAAAGUCAGUGUCAGUUUAUUCAGAGCUUUUCUGGUUUUUAUUUCACCCAUAUGGCAAUCACUUUGGAUCAUAUGGUGCGAUCUUGACUCCUGGGAAGACUUACGAGGCCAAAAUUGUCUUUGUGGGUAACAGCAGAAAAAUGGAAGGUUGCUAAUCUCAAUUUCUGCCUAACUUUGGUAUAAAUGUGUGUGAAAGUCAAGUGCGCUUCUUAUUAUUAGCAUAUGUGUUGAUUAAAUUGGGUUCAUUAGAAAUUCUCGGCUUAACUCUUUGUGCUUUAUUCAUUUAAAUACAAAUACUUAAGUUCACCAUCAAAGUGCAAAAAAUAGUAAGAGGUAAACUGUAGGAAAUAAAGAAGUAUACGAGGUGGCCCAUCAAUUCAGAGACUACUGAGAAAAAAAUGUAAAGAAUCAUUAAGCAUAAUUUGAACAAUAAUUAUAAAGCGACACCUAUAUACUGUCACCCAGGUCAAGAAAGAGAUCAUUGCUGACAGCCCAGAAAUCCAUUCCUGAUCAUCUCUCCCUUAUGCCCUCUACCAUAGGUAAUCACCACCUUGAUUGCUGAGAUCAUCUUGUUCAUGCUUUUCUUUAUAAUUUUACCAUCGAUCUCAACAUUCUUUUUUUUUAAAGCAGUUUUUUUUUAACGUUUAUUUAUUAUUGAGAGACAGAGAGACAGAGUGUGAGCAGGGGAGGGGCAGAGAAAAGGA